rnacentral:rRNA from 1 species
CCCUUAGAUGUUCUGGGCUGCACGCGCGCUACACUGAAGCGUUCAACGAGUAUUCACCUUGCCCGGGAGGGUUGGGUAAUCUUUUGAAAACGCUUCGUGAUGGGGAUAGGCUAUUGCAAUUAUUAAUCUUCAACGAGGAAUUCCUAGUAAGCGCGAGUCAUCAGCUCGUGGUGAUUGCGUCCCUGCCCUUUGUACACACCGCCCGUCGCUCCUACCGAUUCGGACUGCAGCAAUGUUUGGAUCCCGAGCGUUGCAGCGGAAAGUUUAGUGAACCUUAUCACUUAGAGGAAGGGGAAGUCGUAACA